AAUAAAUGUGAGAAAAUCACAUAUGCGGACCUGUACCAGCUUGCUGGAAUUGCUGCUCUUAAGAUCACCGGCGGCCCAAAAAUUGAAUUUGUUCCCGGCAGAGAGGAUUCUAUGCAGGAUCCAGAACAAGGCGGGCCACUUAAAGAUAAGACGCUAGAUGAAUCAGUACUGGAGAAAAUCACAAAACGCAUGGAUCUUGAAGAAAAACACAUGGUGGCAUUGGUUGGCGGCCUCUGCCAAUGGGAUCAGCAACUUAAAAGCGCAGGCCAAGAGAAAAAGGCUGAUGAAAGCGAAGGCCAAGAGGAA